UAUGUUUUAGUAUUAAGAUGUACAUGAAUUUUUGAUAUUUAAAGAGAUAGUUUAAUUCUAUCGAACAUAA
rnacentral:tRNA from 1 species